rnacentral:rRNA from 1 species
GACGAGGGAUCCUAGCGUUGUUCGGAAUCAUUGGGCGUAAAGCGGGUGUAGGUGGCUUGGUAAGUCGGGUGUGAAAGCCCUCAGCUCAACUGAGGAAGUGCGCCCGAAACUGGCAGACUUGAGUGCCGGAGAGGAUAGCGGAACACCCGGUGUAGAGGUGAAAUUCGUAGAUAUCGGGUAGAACACCAGUGGCGAAGGCGGCUAUCUGGACGGACACUGACGCUGAGACGCGAAAGCGUGGGGAGCAAACAGG